GACCCGCACGAAAGGCGUAACGAUCUGGGCACUGUCUCAACGAGAGACUCGGUGAAAUUAUAGUACCUGUGAAGAUGCAGGUUACCCGCGACAGGACGGAAAGACCCCGUGGAGCUUUACUGUAGCCUGAUAUUGAAUUUUGGUACAACUUGUACAGGAUAGGUAGGAGCCAGAGCUCUCGGAGCGCCAGCUUCGAAGGAGGCGUCGGUGGGAUACUACCCUGGUUGUAUUGAAAUUCUAACCCAUGCCCCUUAGCGGGGCAGGAGACAGUGUCAGGCGGACAGUUUGACUGGGGCGGUCGC
rnacentral:rRNA from 1 species